rnacentral:misc_RNA from 1 species
GAUGAAGAACGUAGCGAAAUGCGAUACGUAAUGUGAAUUGCAGAAUUCAGUGAAUCAUCGAGUCUUUGAACGCACAUUGAGCCCCCUGGUAUUCCGGGGGGCAUGCCUGUCCGAGCGUCAUUGCUGCCCUCAAGCACGGCUUGUGUGUUGGGCCUCCGUCCUCCUCCCGGGGGACGGGCCCGAAAGGCAGCGGCGGCACCGCGUCCGGUCCUCGAGCGUAUGGGGCUUCGUCACCCGCUCUUGUAGGCCCGGCCGGCGCUUGCCGACACAUCAAUCUUUUUUCCAGGUUGACCUCGGAUCAGGUAGGGAUACCCGCUGAACUUAAGCAUAUCAAUAAGCGGAGGA